rnacentral:lncRNA from 1 species
GUCCCUAACAAGAAACACAUUGUCCGCUUCCCUCCCGCCCCCCCUUCUUGGCCGAAGCCACGUUUGCGCGCCGGCCGCGAUGCCCCGGCCAAGUCCAUGACUUCAGAGCGGAGGAACCCGCCCCGCACCACGAGCGCGCCCGCCCGGCGGCCACCCCGCCGCGCCCCGCCGCUGUCCCGCCGACAGGUCUGGGGCUCAGGCCGGGGCCGGGCCGGGGCGCGCUCGGCGGCGGACACGCGUCCUGUGCCCGCGGCGCUUUGGCCACUGCCCUUUUCCGACCCGGGAGGCCGCCUCUGGGGCACUGGUGGCACCCAGGAGGCGCCAGCGCGCAUAAUUCUAAACGCUGGUCUCUUCGGUUGGCCGGUGGAAAGACGUUGGUUUUUAAACGAUUUGAAAUCCUUCUCUCCACGCUCCCCCGGCCCCCGCCAGUCUUUGAGGCUUCCACUCCCACGUCCCUAAAAAUGAUAAUUUACGAUAUUUCUUCUCCCCAGUUGGAAAUAGCACGAGGGUUCUCUAAGCCCCCUGACUCCUGUCACAGGUCACUGCCACCCUUGUCCGCGAGAGGAGACAGGACCUAGGACAGCAUUUUCGGGAGGUGUGAUGGGGACCCAGUCCGCAGCGGGGACCCGCGGGGAGCAGUCCCUGGGCACCCAGCGUCAGCUCUUUCUGGAUCGCGCUGUCUUCCCCCGCCGCUGACGCCUGGGCCCGCCCGUCUGAAGGCUGGGGCUGUGGGUCUGCGGGCCCUGGGAGGAAAGGCUGGUGGAAUUAAGUGGUAUAUGUUAUGGUAACCAUCUCUGCCCUUCCAGGAGUCCUUGGGAAGCGCCCAGACAUUCCAUUUCAAAGAAGAAAGGGCGACACGAUGGCCCUCUUUAAGGCCAGAUUAAACAUUCACACUGGGUAAGAGUAAUCACUUACAAGCCCAUGCCGGCUGGCCCGUUCUGCUCUUCCUCUGAACCCCAGGAUUUAGGAAAAGGAGAUGCCGUCCCCAUUUUACAAAGGAAGAAACUGGGGCACAGAAGGACAGCCGCCCCUGUGAGCCCACACGCCCUACACAGCAUCCUGUGACGAUCCGCAGGGGCGCCACCUUGACCCCCGGUGGGAUAUUGGUUAUUUUUUUACCUUGAAGUGUGUUCCAGUUCUGCAGAAAUUUAUAAAACACAUUGUUGUCCCCGUCCUCAGAAGGUCCCACCGAGUGCCGGAGCCUGACUCUAUUAAGAACUCGGAUGUGAGGAUGUCACACCUGAGUAUGUGCAGCAGUCGUCUUUAUAGGCAGAGUCCAGGGGCCCAUCUCCAGAAAGUCUGAUUAACCGGGUUUGGUGAGCAGCCCAGGAAACAGCCUGAGGAAAUGCUGAUGCAGGAGGUGCAGGCGCCACACUCUGAGACGCUUUGGCUUAGCCACUGGCCUCUUCCGUCCAUCCUACAGGGUGAGAACGAGCUAUCUUGGACCUCCUGAGGAUCCAAACAUUUUAUUUAUUUAUUUAACAAAACUCUAGAACACAAGAGACGUUUAUUAUAUUUUUACCCCCGUUUUUACUUUCUCUCUUAUUCUUUUUUCUUGAUGUUCCACUAUUCUUUCUUCUACCAUUUCCUUUCUGUUUCAAGGGCCUCCUUUAGACAUUCUUUCAAGGUAGAUCUGCUGGUGAUGAGUUCUCCUGCAUCUGAGAAGGUCUUGUUAGCCUCUCAAUUCCCGAAGGAUGUUUUUGCUGGAUCUAGGCUUCUGGGCUAGAGUUCUUUCAGCAUUUGCGAUCACUUCCUUGGUGCAUCCAUGAUUAUGGAUGAGAAAUCAGCUGGGUUUUGUUUUUUGUUUUUUCAAAUUUCUUUUUCUUCUGUAGAUAAGGUGCUAUUUCUCCCUGUGUUUUUAAAUAUUUUCACAUCUUCACUUUUCAGAAAUUUGACCAUGAUGUAUUUUCUUGAUAUCUUCUGUUUCUUUACUGAGUUUUUUUUUUUUUUUUUCUUUUUUGGAGCAUAUUCGUACUGCUCAUUGAAAGACUUUUUUGGUGGCUGUUAUAAAAUCCUUAUGAGUUAAUUCCAACAUCAUGUCAACUCAGUCUUGACAACUGUUGUCUUUUCUCAUUCAAGUGGAGCUUUUCCUGGUUCUUGGUAUGAUGAGUGAUUUUUGAUUGAAACCUGAACUUUUUGGGUGUUAUGAAACUCUGGAUCUUAACUGCAUCUGCUAUUAGAGCAGGCCUCUGCUGACGCCACCCUGGCUGGGGAGGGGGUGAGGUGUCUUCUCCGACCCUGCAGAGUGGUCUCCAACCUACACUGUGGGGGCAACGGUCUCUUACCUCCAGAAGGAUGUGGAUACCCCAGCUUCUUGCUCAGCCUUCUCUGAGACCACCCAGUGGGCAAGGGGAGCAGUGCCUGGCUAUUGCUGUGUGGUGGUGAAAGUCCAGGCUCCCAGGUGACCUCUGCUGACCCUGUUGAGAGGGCUCAUUGCCGACUAGCAGCACCGGAUGCCCCCGCUCCCCACCCCACCAUCUGUAACACCGCCCUUCUGUAGAGGGAGGCUGGGGUGGGGGCGCCUCCUGGCAGUAGGGCGAGGGCGAGGGCGAGGGAUCUUACGUAGAUGAAACUGUGGGGCUUGCUUGGAGCAGUGUGGUCAUUGUCGAGGUGUUUUCUAUCUUCCCAGGCUGCCUUGUUCCUGGUUCACUGCUUGAGAGAGCAGGCUUUUCUUGUUUUCUUUUCGCUUGUGUCCAUUGGCCUUUCUGGGUGCCAGGUUCCCCGGCAUCGGGCCUGGGAAAUAAGAAGCACAAAAAACAAAACAAACAAACAAAAAAACAGAGAAAACAUCACCAUGCCCUUCCUUGGGCCCCACCGUCGCCAGCCAGGCUGCCCUUCUCUCCACCUCUCAGCGUCUUCUGAUUUUUGUUUUCUCUCCAACGUCCAGAGUUUUAGCUCUCUUUAGCAGGAGGAACAGGGAGAGGUACAUCUACAUCAUCUUAUGUGGAACUAGAAGUUUCUGUAUGUUAAUUGUUAAAUAAAAUGGAAAACUAUUCACAUUUCUGUAUUGUUUGGCUUUGGAAAGCACCUUCCCAUGUACCUUACUUCAUCAAGCCGUGGAGUUUAAAAAUAUGAUUUAAGUCUUGUUUUAUUAGGCCCAACCUGGCCCUGACUGCAGGUGUCUAGAGGUCUGACAGCUGUAGAAUUCCUGGCUUAGACAGUAUUGUCCUCAGCCUUGCCAUCUCCCCCUGGUCGCAGCGGCCAUCAGCCAGUCACCCUGGGCCCGGGUUCCUGGCUCCUCCACCUGUACGAAGAGGCUCAAACUGUGGGGCAGGCUGGACGGGAGCACUUCAGCACCGACCCGCACUCCGCAAAGUGUGGCACCAGGGCCUGCAGCCUGGGAGCACGGAGGCCAGUGGACUCUGGCUCCGGUCCAGACCUACUGAGUCAGAACCUUUUGGGGAACCAGAGCUGCCGCCAGUGAGGGGCCGCCUGGAGCUGUGGAAGGAGCCAGGAGCAGAGAUGCUCGAACACCUGCUUCCACCUUUAUCUCCGGCUUUAUCCUUUAAGGUGGGUGGUACUGCAGGGCCAGGUGGCGGGUGGGGUGAGGACUGGACCCCAGGGUGCCCAUUCCUUCCGCUGUCCAUGGGGAGUGGGAAUGUCUUUGGAUGGGGAACAAGUGAGGGCUUGUGUGGGAAGCAGGCCUGGGAGGUGCUGGGCACUGCAGUGGGGCUGUUAGUCCCAGGGUGGGGUCAGGGUGGUAGGGGGGUCCUUCUGGCUGAGAGCACAGAGCCUGGGAAUUGCUGGGUCAGGGCUCCCACCCACCAAACACCUCCACCCCACAAGGCGGGUGGCGUCUCAGCCCCCUCACUCCAGCACAGGCCUGGCAUGAGGUCUUUCACGGCCUGACGUCCCUAAACCCUACAAGACCCUCAGGUUGGCACCUGCUCGCACUCCUGUCUCACCUGCCAGGAAGCUGCCCUGUAACCCGUCCUGUCAAUGCAGCCAGGAGAUGGGGCUCAGAAUCUGGACCCUGGACUAUCUGGCUUCAAAGUCCGAUCUCUGACUGAGUUCCUCCCUAAGGCUUUCU